CAUGACUUGAAAUAGCUUCCGCAUAACGAUAUCAUGGCACGUCAACACCUCUAUGAAUGAACAAGUCAAUGUCGACACUUACUUAAUACUUCGCCUUCCGUCUAAUUCCGGCACGCAUAUUAAAUUAAUAUUAACUCUAAUUCCGGCACGCAUAUUCCAUAUUAAAUUUACCAAUGUUAAUUUGGCGCCACGCAUACAUUAUACAUGUACAGACUGCAGAAAGAGAAAAAGCUAGAGACUUGUUCUGAGGCCUAAAUAUAAAGGGAAUUGCAUGCCAGGUUAAAGUUCAGUUAAAAAUAUAAGGUGCGGCCAUAUCUAUAGUCUCAAAGUGUCUAGAUAGAUUCAGAAUAAAAAUAUGUUAUUUCAGAAGUUAAUUUGACAAGUAUAUAAUCAGUAUUGUAUCCUACAUUCGCACCUAUUCCGUACUGCAUGUAUAUAAUAUGUAAUUGUCAGUUCCAAAUAAUUUCUCAGUUUGACUGCAUAUAGUCAUAGAGUAGGACAGUUCUAUAUAGUGACAUUUUUUACAUUGGUAAUGAACGAUAUCAUAAACAACCUGUCUUAUCGAGUUGGUAUGGUAUUUCGAGUAUCAAAUGCAUAUAUUCCUAUUUCUCAAAAUUUUCGCUUGAAAACUGUUUUCACUAUUUAAAAUAAUAGCUACAAAAAUACUAAAAACACAUGUUCCUGACGCUGCCGCCAAUUAUGUUACCGUCUCGUACACUUCAAAACAUCCGAAAUAUUAUUAAACUAAAUAAA